AUUGAACGCUGGCGGAAUGCUUUACACAUGCAAGUCGAACGGCAGCACGGGGGAAGCCCUGGUGUCGAGUGGCGAACGGGUGAGUAAUACAUCUGAACGUGCCCGUUCGCGGGGGAUAACGUAGCGGAAGGUACGCUAAUACUGCAUACGCACAGAGGCUGAAAGCGGGGGACCUUCGGCCCUCGCGCGAUCGCAGCUGCCGAUGUCAGAUUAGGUAGUUGGUGGGGUAAAGGCCUACCAAGCCGACGAUCUGUAGCUGGUCUGAGAGGACGACCAGCCACACUGGGACUGAGACACGGCCCAGACUCCUACGGGAGGCAGCAGUGGGGAAUUUUGGACAAUGGGCGCAAGCCUGAUCCAGCCAUUCCGCGUGGAGGACGAAGGCCUUCGGGUUGUAAACUGCUUUUGUACGGAAAGAAAAGGCUCUGGCUAAUACCUGGGGAUCAUGACGGUACCGUAAGAAUAAGCACCGGCUAACUACGUG
rnacentral:rRNA from 1 species